GCCUGGGUGGCUCAGUCGGUUGAGUGUCUGAUUUCGGCUCAGGUCACGAUCUCCCGGUUCGUAAGUUCGAGCCCUGCGUCGGGCU
rfam:Felis catus isolate Cinnamon breed Abyssinian chromosome E1, whole genome shotgun sequence.